rnacentral:rRNA from 1 species
GAGUUUGAUCCUGGCUCAGAACGAACGCUGGCGGCGUGCCUAACACAUGCAAGUCCAACGUGAAAGGGGAGCAAUCCCCCGGUAGGGUGGCAAACGGGUGAGUAAUACAUGGGUGAUCUACCUUAGGGAUGGGGAUAUCCUUCCGAAAGGAGGGGCAAUACCGAAUAUUGUCCGGAGCCGUGAAGGGUUCCGGGGAAAGGGAGGCCUCUGAUACAAGCUUUCGCCUUAAGAUGAGCCCAUGGCCCAUCAGCUAGUUGGUAGGGUAAAGGCCUACCAAGGCUACGACGGGUCGCUGGUCUGAGAGGACGACCAGCCACACUGGCACUGAGAUACGGGCCAGACUCCUACGGGAGGCAGCAGUGAGGAAUAUUGCGCAAUGGGGGAAACCCUGACGCAGCAACGCCGCGUGUGGGAAGAAGGCCUUCGGGUCGUAAACCACUUUUGCACGGGACGAAAAAGGGAUAUCGAACAAAUAUCCCCGAUGACGGUACCGUGAGAAUAAGCCACGGCUAACUCUGUGCCAGCAGCCGCGGUAAGACAGAGGUGGCAAGCGUUGUUCGGAAUUACUGGGCGUAAAGAGUCUGUAGGUGGUUUGUCAAGUCUUUGGUGAAAGGCCGUAGCUUAACUAUGGGAAUGCCAAAGAGACUGGCAGGCUGGAGGCUGGGAGAGGGAAGCGGAAUUUCUGGUGUAGCGGUGAAAUGCGUAGAUAUCAGAAGGAAGGCCGGUGGCGAAGGCGGCUUCCUGGAACAGUCCUGACA